UUGCAGUUCCGACAAGACUUGGAACGACAUAUUGAAUGAAUGGUACGAGAAAACCUUGGGCAACCCUCCAAAUCCACAGGUUCCUGCUGGAAACGGCUAUGCAGAGCGGAACGCUACGAAACGCCAGGACCAAGGCGAAGCUCUCCAUGUUGGGCGUAUGCAUGAGGCUGAAAAGAGAACCUCCUUUCCACACCCAGUUUCCAGCAGUGGCGCCAGUGAUGAUGCCAUUCCAAGCACAAGCUGUACAGUCAUAGAAGCUCCGGCAUGUAGCGAGAGCAACGUUUGGAACGCUACUGGCUUUUCACAGACGGGAAAGUGUGAGGAUCUGAGCGUUGUCUACGGCGACGUCAACCGCCGCCAGAAGCCAC